rnacentral:rRNA from 1 species
AGAGUUUGAUCAUGGCUCAGAUUGAACGCUGGCGGCAGGCCUAACACAUGCUAGUCGAGCGGCAGCACGGGUACUUGUAACUGGUGGCGAGCGGCGCGGGUGAGUAAUGCCUAGGAAUCUGCCUGGUAGUGGGGGAUAACGCUCGGAAACGAACGCUAAGACCGCAUACGUCCUACGGGAGAAAGCAGGGGACCUUCGGGCCUUGCGCUAUCAGAUGAGCCUAGGUCGGAUUAGCUAGUUGGUGAGGUAAUGGCUCACCAAGGCGACGAUCCGUAACUGGUCUGAGAGGAUGAUCAGUCACACUGGAACUGAGACACGGUCCAGACUCCUACGAGAGGCAGCAGUGGGGAAUAUUGGACAAUGGGCGAAAGCCUGAUCCAGCCAUGCCGCGUGUGUGAUGAAGGUCUUCGGAUUGUAAAGCACUUUAAGUUGGGAGGAAGGGCAGUUACCUAAUACGUAAUUGUUUUGACGUUACCGACAGAAUAUGCACCGGCUAACUCUGUGCCAGCAGCCGCGAAAUACAGAGGGUGCAAGCGUUAAUCGGAAUUACUGGGCGUAAAGCACGCGUAGGUGGUUUGUUAAGUUGAAUGUGAAAUCCCCGGGCUCAACCUGGGAACUGCAUCCAAAACUGGCAAGCUAGAGUAUGGUAGAGGGUGGUGGAAUUUCCUGUGUAGCGGUGAAAUGCGUAGAUAUAGGAAGGAACACCAGUGGCGAAGGCGACCACCUGGACUGAUACUGACACUGAGGUGCGAAAGCGUGGGAAGCAAACAGGAUUAGAUACCCUGGUAGUCCACGCCGUAAACGAUGUCAACUAGCCGUUGGGAGCCUUGAGCUCUUAGUGGCGCAGCUAACGCAUUAAGUUGACCGCCUGGGGAGUACGGCCGCAAGGUUAAAACUCAAAUGAAUUGACGGGGGCCCGCACAAGCGGUGGAGCAUGUGGUUUAAUUCGAAGCAACGCGAAGAACCUAACCAGGCCUUGACAUCCAAUGAACUUUCCAGAGAUGGAUUGGUGCCUUCGGGAACAUUGAGACAGGUGCUGCAUGGCUGUCGUUAGCUCGUGUCAUGAGAUGUUGGGUUAAGUCCCGUAACGAGCGCAACCCUUGUCCUUAGUUACCAGCACGU